CGCUGUUAAUGAUGAUUUUUGUUAUAAAACAAUGGGAAUCUCUCUGAGAAAAGUGAAGAGGGCUUUUAUUCUGAAGCAGUU
ensembl:snoRNA SNORD79 Small nucleolar RNA SNORD79